rnacentral:lncRNA from 1 species
CCCGUAUCCAGCCACGGCCGGGAGCCCAGGAGUAUCCCGAGGAACAAAGAAACGCCACUGUACAUGCACGGUUCCCGGCCUGUGGAGUUGUGGGCGGAAGGCGAUGUCUGGCCUUUUUUGCACAGCUGCUGUUGCCUGCCCAGAGAUCGGGAACUCUGCCCCGUAGGACUGGAAGAAACCUCAGUAAUGGGAAUAAGACUUUGUCCAAUAGGGGGCUGAUGAAUGUGUGGGGGCGACAAUGGCAAGGAGUGGGACUCCCGGCCUGGGGUUCGCCAACCCCAGGGGCCACAGGUCCUCCUACAAUUGAACCAGAAUUCACCCACCUGGGCCUGCCCUGUGCAGGGUGCCGAGAGCCCAGGGAUGCAUGAGAGGGUGGCUCCUGCCUCUGGGAACUGGGACAGUGGGAGAGACGGAUAAGUUGUCACACAGAGGCUGCUGGGAGGAAGGAGGAGACCGAAGGAGUAGGGGAUGGGACUUCAUUCAUUCAUCAAAUGCACACGAGGCACAAAUGGGAAUCAAGGGUGGAUGUGCUGUGAUGAAGAGAAGUCCUGCCCUGAACAAGGUGGCGCUGUGGAGGAGGCAGAGAUCAGAUUUGUCUGCGGAGGUGUUAUGGACUGAACUGUGUCCCUGCCCCAAAUUCCUAUGUUGAAGGCCUAACCCCCAUGUGACUGUAUUUGGAGAUAAGGCUUUUAGGAAGUCAUUAAAGUGAGAUGAUGUCAUAUGGGUAGGGUCCUAAUUUGAUAGGAUUGGUGGCCUCAUCAGAAGAACAAUGUCA